GGCUCUUUGUAGAUAAAUAAAAUAAAGAGUCCGGCCUGCUCAAUGAUGAUUAAUCAUUAAAUAGCUGCGGAAUCCUAACCGUGUGAAAGUAGCAUAAUCAUUUGCCUCUUAAUUGGUGGCUGGAAUGAAUGGUACGAUGAAAAUAGAGCUGUCUCUAGUAUGUUUUAUUGAAAUUACCUUUUAGGUGAAAAGGCCUAAAUAUAUCUAUAAGACAAGAAGACCCUAUCGAGCUUUAAGUUGGUUAUGUGAAUAACUUGAUUAGCUUUUGGUUGGGGCAACCAGGGGGUAAAAGAAAUCCCUCUUUUAUUAAUUUACUUACUAGUAAAGAUCCAGUUAUAUUGAUCAAGGGA
rnacentral:rRNA from 1 species